CUACUCAGGGGCGGAGCUACCUUUAUGCCGGGGGCAACGCCCGCUACGGCUUGGCGCGGAAAAAAUUGGAAAAAUUAGUGUAAAUUUUGGAAAAAUUUGAGGUUUUUUCGAUUUCGUUACGGCUUAUUUAUAAAACGUUACGGCUUGGCGGAUUUUCUAGAUCCGCCACUGCCGCUACUUGUGUCUUCCCCACCAUCUUCUUUUUCCUCUGCAAGUAUCAACCACACACACUAAUCACUUACCUCCUAAAAAUUUUCCUUACCUCCCUCUCACUUGGAAGGCCGGCCGACUACCACCAUGGUGGCAGCGCACAACGGCGACGGUAGACACGUCGGAAAGAGAUGAGAGAGUGAGAAACUGCGGCGGCGACGGCGGCCGUACCAAUCGACGGCAACGACGAGUUCGUUCGAGUUGGGUUCAACCCGAUUCCAGUUCGGGUCUCGUUUUGGGUUGUGUUUCAUGAAGCCGCCGCCAGAACCACAGAUCGGAGCACGAAUUGGAACUCGACUCGUAAACCUUUUCAUUUCGACAUAAUUGAAAGAUUUGCCACACUUGUUCCACCGGAAGGGUUAUUGACGAUUUCGCCUUCACAACUAAAGCUAGUUUCAUUUGUUGAAGCUUCCCAAUCUUACUCGUGCGUUACUUACAAGAAACCACAAACGCAACCAAUGAUUGUGACAGAUGAAUCCAGUAGGAUUGCCUAGAAGCGCACUUAAACUUUAUUGCUCGUUGUAUUGUAAUUUAUUUUCAAUCCUGUUGUAUUCUGGUUCCAAUACUUGUAAUAAUUCAUUAUUAAUGAAAUGAAAUAUAAUUAUUUGAAUA